UACGGAGGGUGCAAGCAUUAAUCGGAUUUAUUGGGCGUAAAGGGCGCGUAGGUGGGGAUAAUAGUCAGAUGUGAAAUCCUGGGCUCAACCUCAGAACUGCAUUUGAAACUGUAUCUCUAGAGGGUAGGAGGAGAAAAUGGAAUUCCACAAGUAGCGGUGAAAUGCGUAGAUAUGUGGAAGAACACCAGUGGCGAAGGCGAUUUUCUAUCUUAGUACCUGACACUGAGGCG
rnacentral:rRNA from 1 species